rnacentral:rRNA from 1 species
AUACGUAGGUGACAAGCGUUAUCCGGAUUUACUGGGCGUAAAGGGCGUGUAGGCGGUCUUGCAAGUCAGAAGUGAAAUUCCCGGGCUUAACUUGGGCGCUGCUUCUGAAACUGCUUUACUUGAGUGCUGGAGAGGAUAGGGGAAUUCCUAGUGUAGCGGUAAAAUGCGCAGAUAUUAGGAGGAACACCGGUGGCGAAGGCGGCUAUCUGGACAGUAACUGACGCUGAGGCGCGAAAGCACGGGGAGCAAACAGGAUUAGAUACCCUGGUAGUCCGUGCCGUAAACGAUGAAUACUAGGUGUAGGGGGUAUCGACUCCCUCUGUGCCGCAGUUAACACAUUAAGUAUUCCACCUGGGGAGUACGGCCGCAAGGUUGAAACUCAAAUGAAUUGACGGGG